rnacentral:rRNA from 1 species
CCGGCGACCGGCGGACGGGUGCGUAACGCGUAUGCAACCUACCUUUGACAGGGGGAUAACAUCGAGAAAUUGGUACUAAUACCCCAUAACAUCACCGGAGGCAUCUUCGGUGGUUGAAAACUCAGGUGGUCAGAGAUGGACAUGCGUUGUAUUAGCUAGUUGGUGAGGUAACGGCUCACCAAGGCGACGAUACAUAGGGGGACUGAGAGGUCAACCCCCCACAUUGGUACUGAGACACGGACCAAACUCCUACGGAAGGCAGCAG